UCGAACGAACUCUGGUAUUGAUUGGUGCUUGCAUCAUGAUUUACAUUUGAGUGAGUGGCGAACUGGUGAGUAACACGUGGGAAACCUGCCCAGAAGCGGGGGAUAACACCUGGAAACAGAUGCUAAUACCGCAUAACAACUUGGACCGCAUGGUCCGAGCUUGAAAGAUGGCUUCGGCUAUCACUUUUGGAUGGUCCCGCGGCGUAUUAGCUAGAUGGUGGGGUAACGGCUCACCAUGGCAAUGAUACGUAGCCGACCUGAGAGGGUAAUCGGCCACAUUGGGACUGAGACACGGCCCAAACUCCUACGGGAGGCAGCAGUAGGGAAUCUUCCACAAUGGACGAAAGUCUGAUGGAGCAACGCCGCGUGAGUGAAGAAGGGUUUCGGCUCGUAAAACUCUGUUGUUAAAGAAGAACAUAUCUGAGAGUAACUGUUCAGGUAUUGACGGUAUUUAACCAGAAAGCCACGGCUAACUACGUGCCAGCAGCCGCGGUAAUACGUAGGUGGCAAGCGUUGUCCGGAUUUAUUGGGCGUAAAGCGAGCGCAGGCGGUUUUUUAAGUCUGAUGUGAAAGCCUUCGGCUCAACCGAAGAAGUGCAUCGGAAACUGGGAAACUUGAGUGCAGAAGAGGACAGUGGAACUCCAUGUGUAGCGGUGAAAUGCGUAGAUAUAUGGAAGAACACCAGUGGCGAAGGCGGCUGUCUGGUCUGUAACUGACGCUGAGGCUCGAAAGUAUGGGUAGCAAACAGGAUUAGAUACCCUGGUAGUCCAUACCGUAAACGAUGAAUGCUAAGUGUUGGAGGGUUUCCGCCCUUCAGUGCUGCAGCUAACGCAUUAAGCAUUCCGCCUGGGGAGUACGGCCGCAAGGCUGAAACUCAAAGGAAUUGACGGGGGCCCGCACAAGCGGUGGAGCAUGUGGUUUAAUUCGAAGCUACGCGAAGAACCUUACCAGGUCUUGACAUACUAUGCAAAUCUAAGAGAUUAGACGUUCCCUUCGGGGACAUGGAUACAGGUGGUGCAUGGUUGUCGUCAGCUCGUGUCGUGAGAUGUUGGGUUAAGUCCCGCAACGAGCGCAACCCUUAUUAUCAGUUGCCAGCAUUAAGUUGGGCACUCUGGUGAGACUGCCGGUGACAAACCGGAGGAAGGUGGGGAUGACGUCAAAUCAUCAUGCCCCUUAUGACCUGGGCUACACACGUGCUACAAUGGAUGGUACAACGAGUUGCGAACUCGCGAGAGUAAGCUAAUCUCUUAAAGCCAUUCUCAGUUCGGAUUGUAGGCUGCAACUCGCCUACAUGAAGUCGGAAUCGCUAGUAAUCGCGGAUCAGCAUGCCGCGGUGAAUACGUUCCCGGGCCUUGUACACACCGCCCGUCACACCAUGAGAGUUUGUAACACCCAAAGUCGGUGGGGUAACCUUUUAGGAACCAGCC
rnacentral:rRNA from 2 species